UACGUAGGGUCCGAGCGUUGUCCGGAAUUACUGGGCGUAAAGAGCUCGUAGGUGGUUUGUCGCGUUGUUCGUGAAAUCUCACGGCUUAACUGUGAGCGUGCGGGCGAUACGGGCAGACUAGAGUACUGCAGGGGAGACUGGAAUUCCUGGUGUAGCGGUGGAAUGCGCAGAUAUCAGGAGGAACACCGGUGGCGAAGGCGGGUCUCUGGGCAGUAACUGACGCUGAGGAGCGAAAGCGUGGGGAGCGAACAGG
rnacentral:rRNA from 1 species